UGAGGAAUAUUGGUCAAUGGGCGUAAGCCUGAACCAGCCAUCCCGCGUGAAGGAAGAAGGCGCUAUGCGUCGUAAACUUCUUUUCCAGAGGAAGAAAACCCCCGACGAGUCGGGGCUUGCCGGUACUCUGGGAAUAAGCAUCGGCUAACUCCGUGCCAGCAGCCGCGGUAAUACGGAGGAUGCAAGCGUUAUCCGGAAUUAUUGGGCGUAAAGAGCGCGCAGGUGGUUGAUUAAGUCUGAUGUGAAAGCCCACGGCUUAACCGUGGAGGGUCAUUGGAAACUGGUCGACUUGAGUGCAGAAGAGGGAAGUGGAAUUCCAUGUGUAGCGGUGAAAUGCGUAGAGAUAUGGAGGAACACCAGUGGCGAAGGCGGCUUCCUGGUCUGUAACUGACACUGAGGCGCGAAAGCGUGGGGAGCAAACA
rnacentral:rRNA from 1 species